rnacentral:rRNA from 1 species
AAAUAGAUACCCAGGUAGUCCACGCCGUAAACGAUGUCGACUUGGAGGUUGUGCCCUUGAGGGCGUGGCUUCCGGAGCUAACGCGUUAAGUCGACCGCCUGGGGAGUACGGCCGCAAGGUUAAAACUCAAAUGAAUUGACGGGGGCCCGCACAAGCGGUGGAGCAUGUGGUUUAAUUCGAUGCAACGCGAAGAACCUUACCUACUCUUGACAUCCAGAGAACUUAGCAGAGAUGCUUUGGUGCCUUCGGGAACUCUGAGACAGGUGCUGCAUGGCUGUCGUCAGCUCGUGUUGUGAAAUGUUGGGUUAAGUCCCGCAACGAGCGCAACCCUUAUCCUUUGUUGCCAGCGAUUCGGUCGGGAACUCAAAGGAGACUGCCAGUGAUAAACUGGAGGAAGGUGGGGAUGACGUCAAGUCAUCAUGGCCCUUACGAGUAGGGCUACACACGUGCUACAAUGGCAUAUACAAAGAGAAGCGACCUCGCGAGAGCAAACGGACCUCAUAAAGUAUGUCGUAGUCCGGAUUGGAGU